GCGCCGGUUCUGAAUCCUGAACCAGUAGAUGACGAAAGACCCGAUCCACCUUAGUCCGAUCCUGAACCGGAAUAUGGUGACAGACCCGAUCCACCUUCACAAGCUGGACUGGAGCAGAAAACAAGCGUACCCACCGUCAUGAAUCAGAAGGAGGGAAAUGGCAGAGAUGAGGAGCAAAGUUCUGGGGACUGUCUGCUACAGACCUCACAUGACGAUAUUCAUCACCUGGAAUACUUUCAUGAAGAAACACUUUGAUGUAUCUAUGUUUCACCUGUGGACUCUUCCGGACUAAAGGAAUAUAAAUAAUAGAGGAACAGACAGAUGGUCCGACUUCACCUCCAGCUUCUAAAGGUUGAGCUCAGCUGUGAUCCAGAUCUCUCGGAGAGCUUCAAACAGAGUCCAGACUGAGAGGAAGUCGACCAUCUAGAUGUUUGUCUCUUUUCCUGUCACAUGACCACUCGUCCACCGACACUGUGGAAACACAACAACACCCUUCACACGGUGUCACAGUCUGCAGACACACUGAGCUGCUGCUGCAGAGACCGAGGGAAAGAAAGAACAUACAGAUAAACAGAUUAUUUCACCUCUAAAUACAAGUCAGAGUGAAGUGUGGCGUUGGAUUUCUGUAUUUCCCUGAAUGCAUUGUGUACAAACACAAUUAUUUUAAUCAUGUUUUGUUUCGUUUUCUUCUUUUUCUCUGAUCUUCGGCUCACUAUCUGCAGUUCCUCCUUUACCUUUAUGCAUUUCUUUAUUUUAAACUGUUUAUAAUUCCAGAGCUCUUCAGAGCACAUGCAGGUCCCGGGUAUUAUUGUAAAGAUAAGAUACUCUGGACUUUUAUUGUGCAGGUUUUUCUUUCUCCUCGUCCCUCACUGUGGAGCUGGGGAGGUUUUAGAAACAGACAAAGAUUGAUGCGCUCUGUUUUUCUGUAACAGCCAUAACACAGGCAGUGAAGUUGAAAUUGAGAUUGGACAGACGUGACUCAGAGUUCUGAGCAUCAACAGAAACUAAACAUCCUCAAACACUGAAAAUUCACCUGAAUGUUACGCUGACUCAGUCACUUGAAUUUGUCUGAACUGGUUUUGUUCUGGACGUUUAUAUUACGACAUACAAGGAAACUAACUACCUUCAGUCCUCUCACUUUUAUUUUGGUAAUAACACGGGACUUUUGUUUUUGUCCUUGGGUGUUUUUUUUUUUAACUCACAAAUGACGUUUUACUUUGGCGGGACAAGAUAACUGCAACCCAGAAACCCAGGAUGUUGACUAUUUAUAUUUAUUAUACAUUUAUUUUUUCAUUUUACAUUCAAUAUGAAACAUAUGAAUUCAUGAAUUGUGAAUCUGAACAUUAUAAGUGUAACAUGAGGGAUUGAUAUGUGGCGGUCUGGAUCAUGUUUGAUAAAAGAAACAGCUGGAUGGAGACAGAUUGAGUUCACUUUUCUCCGCACUUCGUCUUCUUCACAACAACAACAACACUUCCUGUCUCUAAGUCACAUGUCACUAAACAAACCAAUCAGAGGCUAGAAGGACUUGGGCUCAUUUGAAUAAGUGGAAAACUACAGAGAGGGAUUCAGGAGGUUCCUGUAACUGCAGAUGUAAAUAUUUAAACUUGUAAAUAUGUAAAUGUUAAUGCAAUAAUUGUGUAAACAUAAAUAUGUAAAUAAUUAACAGUAUAAACAAUGUAAAUCUAUUUUUAGCAAAUGACCUCACAUAUACAGUAUGAAUUAACAUGUAGAGCUUACAUGAGGUUAAAGCGUCCACAGUGCUCCGACAGGAAAUGUGACUGUGUUCACUUCGACUCCUUUCACUCAUUUUCAGGGUGUAAAAUAAACAUUUCCUCUCAUGCAGCUCGAUCCA